GACGAACGCUGGCGGCGUGCUUAACACAUGCAAGUCGAACGAGUGGCGAACGGGUGAGUAAUACGUGAGUAACCUGCCCUCUUUUUGGGAUAAGCCUUGGAAACGGGGUCUAAUACCGGAUAAAGGGGGAUGGGCUCGCGGCCUAUCAGCUUGUUGGUGGGGUGAUGGCCUACCAAGGCGGUGACGGGUAGCCGGCCUGAGAGGGUGACCGGCCACAGUGGGACUGAGACACGGCCCAAACUCCUACGGGAGGCAGCAGUGAGGAAUAUUGGUCAAUGGAGGAAACUCUGAACCAGCCAAGUCGCGUGAAGGAAGAAGUCCUAAGGAUUGUAAACUUCUUUAGCGAGCGAGUAAGUAGCUCGAGAAUAAGUAUCGGCUAACUCCGUGCCAGCCGCCGCGGUAAUUC
rnacentral:rRNA from 1 species